rnacentral:rRNA from 1 species
GACGAACGCUGGCGGCGUGCCUAAUACAUGCAAGUCGAGCGGACUUGAAGGAGCUUGCUCCUGAUAGUCAGCGGCGGACGGGUGAGUAACACGUGGGCAACCUGCCUGUAAGACUGGGAUAACUUCGGGAAACCGGAGCUAAUACCGGAUACGUUCUUUUCUCGCAUGAGAGAAGAUGGAAAGACGGUUUCGGCUGUCACUUACAGAUGGGCCCGCGGCGCAUUAGCUAGUUGGUGGGGUAAUGGCCCACGAAGGCGACGAUGCGUAGCCGACCUGAGAGGGUGAUCGGCCACACUGGGACUGAGACACGGCCCAGACUCCUACGGGAGGCAGCAGUAGGGAAUCUUCCGCAAUGGACGAAAGUCUGACGGAGCAACGCCGCGUGAGUGAAGAAGGUUUUCGGAUCGUAAAACUCUGUUGUCAGGGAAGAACAAGUACCAUAGUAACUGAUGGUACCUUGACGGUACCUGACCAGAAAGCCACGGCUAACUACGUGCCAGCAGCCGCGGUAACAC